rnacentral:rRNA from 1 species
AUUCCAGCUCUGUAAGCGUAUACCAAAGUUGUUGCAGUUAAAACGCUCGUAGUCGGACGUUGGCGGGCGCUGCGAGUCGGCCUCACGGUCGAUCUUGUUGGCGACCGCCUUUGUGGAGGGGGGCUUGGGCGGUGCUUUGUUGUCAUCCCUUUGUCGCUGCCACCGUUUACUGUGAAAAAAUUAGAGUGUUCAAAGCGGGCGUUUGCCAUGAAUACAUUAGCAUGGAAUAAUAGAAUAGGACCUGGUCCUGUUUUGUUGGUUUGUGAGUAUCAGGUAAUGAUUAAGAGGGACGGUUGGGGGCAUUUGUAUUCCGGCGUCAGAGGUGAAAUUCUUGGAUUGCCGGAAGACAAACAGCUGCGAAAGCGUCUGCCAAGGACGUUUUCAUCA